rnacentral:rRNA from 1 species
GAUGAACGCUGGCGGCGUGCCUAAUACAUGCGAGUCGAGCGAACAGACGAGGAGCUUGCUCCUCUGACGUUAGCGGCGGACGGGGGAGUAACACGUGGAUAACCUACCUAUAAGACUGGGAUAACUUCGGGAAACCGGAGCUAAUACCGGAUAAUAUAUUGAACCGCAUGGUUCAAUAGUGAAAGACGGUUUUGCUGUCACUUAUAGAUGGAUCCGCGCCGCAUUAGCUAGUUGGUAAGGUAACGGCUUACCAAGGCAACGAUGCGUAGCCGACCUGAGAGGGUGAUCGGCCACACUGGAACUGAGACACGGUCCAGACUCCUACGGGAGGCAGCAGUAGGGAAUCUUCCGCAAUGGGCGAAAGCUUGACGGAGCAACGCCGCGUGAGUGAUGAAGGUCUUCGGAUCGUAAAACUCUGUUAUUAGGGAAGAACAAAUGUGUAAGUAACUAUGCACGUCUUGACGGUACCUAAUCAGAAAGCCACGGCUAACUACGUG